rnacentral:rRNA from 1 species
GCGGCAGCUUACACAUGCAGUCGACGCUCUCUUCGGAGAGAGCGGCAGACGGGUGAGUAACGCGUGGGAAUCUACCCAGUACUACGGAACAACAGUUAGAAAUGACUGCUAAUACCGUAUACGCCCUCCGGGGGAAAGAUUUAUCGGUAUUGGAUGAGCCCGCGUUUGAUUAGCUAGUUGGUGAGGUAACGGCUCACCAAGGCGACGAUCAAUAGCUGGUCUGAGAGGAUGAUCAGCCACACUGGGACUGAGACACGGCCCAGACUCCUACGGGAGGCAGCAGUGGGGAAUAUUGGACAAUGGGCGAAAGCCUGAUCCAGCCAUGCCGCGUGUGUGAUGAAGGCCCUAGGGUUGUAAAGCACUUUCAACGGUGAAGAUAAUGACGGUAACCGUAGAAGAAGCUCCGGCUAACUUCGUGCCAGCAGCCGCGGUAAUACGAAGGGAGCUAGCGUUGUUCGGAAUUACUGGGCGUAAAGCGCGCGUAGGCGGGCUAUUAAGUCAGAGGUGAAAUCCCAGGGCUCAACCCUGGAACUGCCUUUGAUACUGGUAGUCUAGAGAUCGAGAGAGGUGAGUGGAAUUCCGAGUGUAGAGGUGAAAUUCGUAGAUAUUCGGAGGAACACCAGUGGCGAAGGCGGCUCACUGGCUCGAUACUGACGCUGAGGUGCGAAAGUGUGGAGAGCAAACAGGAUUAGAUACCCUG